rnacentral:lncRNA from 1 species
GGAGAGAAUGCAUAUAAGCAACUCUCUAGAAGGUUUAUUUUUGGAAAAUAUUAAUGUAUUUAUUGUCUUUCUCAAUUCAACCUGCCAAAAUUCUCUCAAAUCCUAAAUCCCCCUAGCCGUUUCUAUGAAAUCGAUCUUCCAUAAAUCCAUAAACAUGAUUUCUGAUUCAAUCCAUCUUCUUCGAUUCAAGUUUGAUUAUCCAAGAUCGGAGCCACGAGAUCGUCGCUGCCGGUCAACGCUUAGGACUGCUCAAAGAUACUGAGCAAGAUUACCAUUCGAAUCGGAGUCGAAGACAUCAUCGAAGAUGAUUCCGACGAGUUUGACGACGACCUUGGUCACCGGAUUCCACGAGUUUCACGCGGGACAAAUUGCUAGAACGAGACUAAUUAAACAAGUUUUGGUUAUGUGAUAUUAAUUUUUAAGUGAUCUAAUGAUGGAUUUUGAGGUAAAAUGGGGAAGACUGUAUUUUGCUGUCAUGAAUUUGAUAAGUUUACGAAGGAAUUUUGGCCAUGGAAACUGAAUUUGAA